rnacentral:rRNA from 1 species
UACGAAGGGGGCUAGCGUUGCUCGGAAUUACUGGGCGUAAAGCGCACGUAGGCGGCCUCUUAAGUCGGUGGUGAAAUCCUGGAGCUCAACUCCAGAACUGCCUUCGAUACUGGGAAGCUCGAGUCCGGGAGAGGUGAGUGGAACUGCGAGUGUAGAGGUGAAAUUCGUAGAUAUUCGCAAGAACACCAGUGGCGAAGGCGGCUCACUGGCCCGGUACUGACGCUGAGGUGCGAAAGCGUGGGGAGCAAACAGG